UACAGAGGUCCCAAGCGUUGUUCGGAUUCACUGGGCGUAAAGGGUGCGUAGGUGGUGAGGUAAGUUUGAUGUGAAAUCUCCGGGCUCAACCCGGAAAUGGCAUUGAAUACUAUCUUGCUAGAGGAGUGGAGGGGGGACUGGAAUACUUGGUGUAGCAGUGAAAUGCGUAGAUAUCAAGUGGAACACCAGUGGCGAAGGCGAGUCCCUGGACACUUCCUGACACUGAGGCACGAAGGCCAGGGGAGCAAACGGG
rnacentral:rRNA from 1 species